GACGAACGCUGGCGGCGUGCUUAACACAUGCCAGUCGAACGGAAAGGCCCUGCUUUUGUGGGGUGCUCGAGUGGCGAACGGGUGAGUAACACGUGAGUAACCUGCCCUUGACUUUGGGAUAACUUCAGGAAACUGGGGCUAAUACCGGAUAGGAGCUCCUGCUGCAUGGUGGGGGUUGGAAAGUUUCGGCGGUUGGGGAUGGACUCGCGGCUUAUCAGCUUGUUGGUGGGGUAGUGGCGUACCAAGGCUUUGACGGGUAGCCGGCCUGGGAGGGUGACCGGCCACAUUGGGACUGAGAUACGGCCCAGACUCCUACGGGAGGCAGCAGUGGGGAAUAUUGCACAAUGGGCGGAAGCCUGAUGCAGCAACGCCGCGUGCGGGAUGACGGCCUUCGGGUUGUAAACCGCUUUCGCCUGUGACGAAGCGUGAGUGACGGUAAUGGGUAAAGAAGCACCGGCUAACUACGUG
rnacentral:rRNA from 1 species